rnacentral:lncRNA from 1 species
AAUAAUACUUUCGACAUCGAAAAUGGAAUUCAAUGGAAUCAUGAAAGAAAAAUUAGUGAUUUUGUUGGAGAAAAUAAAAUUAGUGAUUUGAUGGAGAAAAUGAAAUUCAAUAUGAUAAUUGAAGAUGGACUGAUAAUCAAUGAGUCAUAUAUUGGAAUAGAGUUUGCCGGUGCUGAUGAAGCAAAGAAUUUUAUAAUAUUUAUGCCUUCAAAAUAGGUUU